rnacentral:rRNA from 1 species
UGGGGAAUAUUGCACAAUGGGGGGAACCCUGAUGCAGCCAUGCCGCGUGAAUGAAGAAGGCCUUCGGGUUGUAAAGUUCUUUCGGUGACGAGGAAGGUUGAUAGGUUAAUAGCCUAUCAAAUUGACGUUAAUCACAGAAGAAGCACCGGCUAACUCCGUGCCAGCAGCCGCGGUAAUUACGGGGGGUGCGAGCGUUAAUCGGAAUAACUGGGCGUAAAGGGCACGCAGGCGGUGACUUAAGUGAGAUGUGAAAGCCCCGAGCUUAACUUGGGAAUUGCAUUUCAUACUGGGUCGCUAGAGUACUUUAGGGAGGGGUAGAAUUCCACGUGUAGCGGUGAAAUGCGUAGAGAUGUGGAGGAAUACCGAAGGCGAAGGCAGCCCCUUGGGAAUGUACUGACGCUCAUGUGCGAAAGCGUGGGGAGCAAACAGGAUUAGAUACCCUGGUAGUCCACGCUGUAAACGAUGUCGAUUUGGGGAUUGGGCUUUAAGCUUGGUGCCCGUAGCUAACGUGAUAAAUCGACCGCCUGGGGGAGUACGGCCGCAAGGGUUA